UCAGUUCAGAUUGCAGGCUGCAACUCGCCUGCAUGAAGUCGGAAUUGCUAGUAAUCGCAGAUCAGCAUGCUGCGGUGAAUACGUUCCCGGGCCUUGUACACACCGCCCGUCACACCAUGGGAGUCGGUAACACCCGAAGUCGGUAGCCUAACCGUAAGGAGGGCGCCGCCGAAGGUGGGAUUGAUGACUGGGGUGAAGUCGUAACAAGGUAGC
rnacentral:rRNA from 1 species